rnacentral:sRNA from 1 species
UCGAUAUUAUUUUAGGGAAUGUAUUAUUUUAGGGAAUGUGACAUUAUUAGGCACUUUGUGAGAAUCUUUUUACGUUUGAGGCACUUGUGAGAGAGAGGGCACUUUGCCAUCUUUUUUUAGAGGAGAUUGAACCAAUUUGCCCCUGAAGUGAUGAAAACACAAUAAUUUUUAAACUUAUUCUUAAUGAGAUCGUGUGGGUGAGAAACUAAUUUUUUUUUUUUUUAUCAUUUCUCCUUUCCAUAUUCUUUUGUUUUUCAUCAUUUUCAAUUCCUCUUUCAAAUCAUAGUCGUUCUCAAUAAUUCUUACAAAAUUAUGAAAAUUCUGAGGUUAUCUCAAAAUUCACAAUCACAAUCUAUGUUUACCCUAAAUUUCCUUUAUUUUUUUAGUUUUGUAUUCUUUUCUCCAUUCUCCAUCAUCAAAUCCAUUUCAUUAUCUGCAACCUCCAUCAAUGAACGACUGUGACCAACAAAAAAAGUAACAUCAUCGAUUUCUCCUUUUCGAGACGAAGAAGAAGGAGAUCCUUACUCUCUGCUACCGAACUCCCUCUUCCCUUAAUCUUCCUCUUUUUCUGGUUCCAUGCUCUUCUCUCUUGUCUUACUUACGGUUUCUGGUUUCGUUGUUUUUUUUUGGUAAAAGGUUUCUUUGGUUUUGAAUCAUAAAGGCCAAUGGUACAUGUGAUUCGUUGAUUCUAGCUUAGGCUUUAAAUUGUAAAUCUUUAA